rnacentral:rRNA from 1 species
GACCCCGCACAAGCGGCGGAGCAUGCGGCUUAAUUCGAUGAUACCCGUAGAACCUUACCUGGACUUGACAUAUAGGGUCAAGCUAUAGAGAUAUAGUGUGCAUUAGCGCCCUAUACAGGUGGUGCAUGGCUGUCGUCAGCUCGUGUCGUGAGAUGUUGGGUUAAGUCCUGCAACGAGCGCAACCCCCUAUUCUUAGUUGCCAGCGGUUCGGCCGGGGACUCUAAGAAGACUGCCAGCGCAAGCUGAGAGGAAAGGUGGGAUGACGUCAAAUCAUCACGGGCCCUUACGUCCUGGGCUACACACGUGCUACAAUGGUACAGACAGAGGGCAGCCACCUGGCGACAGGGAGCGAAUCCUUAAACUGUAUCUC